AGAGUUUGAUCAUGGCUCAGAUUGAACGCUGGCGGCAGGCCUAACACAUGCAAGUCGAGCGGAUGAAGGGAGCUUGCUCCUGGAUUCAGCGGCGGACGGGUGAGUAAUGCCUAGGAAUCUGCCUGGUAGUGGGGGAUAACGGCCGGAAACGGGCGCUAAUACCGCAUACGUCCUGAGGGAGAAAGUGGGGGAUCUUCGGACCUCACGCUAUCAGAUGAGCCUAGGUCGGAUUAGCUAGUUGGUGGGGUAAAGGCCUACCAAGGCGACGAUCCGUAACUGGUCUGAGAGGAUGAUCAGUCACACUGGAACUGAGACACGGUCCAGACUCCUACGGGAGGCAGCAGUGGGGAAUAUUGGACAAUGGGCGAAAGCCUGAUCCAGCCAUGCCGCGUGUGUGAAGAAGGUCUUCGGAUUGUAAAGCACUUUAAGUUGGGAGGAAGGGCAGUAAGCUAAUACCUUGCUGUUUUGACGUUACCAACAGAAUAAGCACCGGCUAACUUCGUGCCAGCAGCCGCGGUAAUACGAAGGGUGCAAGCGUUAAUCGGAAUUACUGGGCGUAAAGCGCGCGUAGGUGGUUCAGCAAGUUGGAUGUGAAAUCCCCGGGCUCAACCUGGGAACUGCAUCCAAAACUACUGAGCUAGAGUACGGUAGAGGGUGGUGGAAUUUCCUGUGUAGCGGUGAAAUGCGUAGAUAUAGGAAGGAACACCAGUGGCGAAGGCGACCACCUGGACAGAUACUGACACUGAGGUGCGAAAGCGUAGGGAGCAAACAGGAUUAGAUACCCUGGUAGUCCACGCCGUAAACGAUGUCGACUAGCCGUUGGGAUCCUUGAGAUCUUAGUGGCGCAGCUAACGCGAUAAGUCGACCGCCUGGGGAGUACGGCCGCAAGGUUAAAACUCAAAUGAAUUGACGGGGGCCCGCACAAGCGGUGGAGCAUGUGGUUUAAUUCGAAGCAACGCGAAGAACCUUACCUGGCCUUGACAUGCUGAGAACUUUCCAGAGAUGGAUUGGUGCCUUCGGGAACUCAGACACAGGUGCUGCAUGGCUGUCGUCAGCUCGUGUCGUGAGAUGUUGGGUUAAGUCCCGUAACGAGCGCAACCCUUGUCCUUAGUUACCAGCACCUCGGGUGGGCACUCUAAGGAGACUGCCGGUGACAAACCGGAGGAAGGUGGGGAUGACGUCAAGUCAUCAUGGCCCUUACGGCCAGGGCUACACACGUGCUACAAUGGUCGGUACAAAGGGUUGCCAAGCCGCGAGGUGGAGCUAAUCCCAUAAAACCGAUCGUAGUCCGGAUCGCAGUCUGCAACUCGACUGCGUGAAGUCGGAAUCGCUAGUAAUCGUGAAUCAGAAUGUCACGGUGAAUACGUUCCCGGGCCUUGUACACACCGCCCGUCACACCAUGGGAGUGGGUUGCUCCAGAAGUAGCUAGUCUAACCGCAAGGGGGACGGUUACCACGGAGU
rnacentral:rRNA from 1 species